rnacentral:rRNA from 1 species
UACGGGGGGAGCAAGCGUUGUUCGGAUUUACUGGGCGUAAAGGGCGCGUAGGCGGCGCCGCAAGUCGACUGUGAAAUCUCCGGGCUUAACCCGGAAAGGUCAGCCGAUACUGCGGGGCUAGAGUGCAGAAGGGGCAACUGGAAUUCUCGGUGUAGCGGUGAAAUGCGCAGAUAUCAGGAGGAACACCAAUAGCGAAGGCAGCUCGCUGGGACGGUACUGACGCUGAGGCGCGAAAGCGUGGGGAGCGAACAGG